rnacentral:misc_RNA from 1 species
AAGUCGUAACAAGGUUUCCGUAGGUGAACCUGCGGAAGGAUCAUUAGCAAAUCUCUCAGGGUGCGCCGCCGCAGGCGGUGCACAUCUGUCCCAGGGAGAAAGUCUGUUUUGAUUUUCUCCCUGUGUCCAAGUGCUCCAGUGAAAUGUAUAUCACCAACACCAAAACUAAACAAAAAACAACUUUUAACAAUGGAUCUCUGGGCUCCU